rnacentral:rRNA from 1 species
CGGAUCUCUUAGAGCCGUUCUCAGUUCGGACUGUAGGCUGCAACUCGCCUACACGAAGCUGGAAUCGCUAGUAAUCGCGGAUCAGCACGCCGCGGUGAAUACGUUCCCGGGUCUUGUACACACCGCCCGUCACACCAUGAGAGUCUGUAACACCCAAAGCCGGUGGGAUAACCUUUAUAGGAGUCAGCCGUCUAAGGUAGGACAGAUGAUUAGGGUGAAGUCGUAACAAGGUAAC